UUCAGAGGAACCUGUCCUAUAAUUGAUGAUCCACAAUUAAAUUUACUUAUUUUAUUAAUUUGCAUAUCGUUGUAGUUUGAAUAUUUUAUUAGAAAAUUAAUGUUCAAGAUUUUUUUAGAAAAUAAAUCAGAUCAAGGUGUAGUUUAUAAAUAAGAAGAGGUGGGUUACAAUAAAUUUAUUUAAAUGGAUAUUUAAUUUAAAAAUUAAAUUGAAGGUGGAUUUGAAAGUAAUUUUAAUUAGUUAAUUAAAAUGAUUUUAGCUCUAAAAUAUGUACAUAUCGCCCGUCAUUUUCAUUAUAAAGUGAAACAAGUCGUAACAAAGUAGGUGUACUGGAAAGUGUACCUAGAAUGACAAAUUAGAGCUUGUUAAAGCAUUUUAUUUACAUUAAAAAGUUUAUUGUUAAAAUCAAUAUAAUUUGAAUUUAAAAAAUUAUUUUUAUAGUAAAUUAAUAAAUUUUUAAAAAAAAUAAUUUUUUGUUUAAUUAUUUAAAUUGAAAAAAUUUUAUAUAAUUAUAGUAUAUUAGUAUUGUGAAAGAAUUAUUUUAAAUGAUUUAAAGAAUAAUUAAUUUUUAGUGCCUUGUGUAUCAUGAUUUAUUAAAUAAGAAUUUUUUAUUAAAUUUUCUCGAAUUUAAAAGAGCUAUAAAUUUAUAUUUUUUAUUAUAUCAUAAAUAUUAAUAAUAUUUUUAUAGUAAUGAAAUGUUAUUCGUUUUUAAAAAUAUCUAGUUUUUUCAGAAAUAAAUUUAAUUUAUUUAAUAAUAAUAUAUUAUUUUUUAUUUUUAAUUUAAUAUUAUUAUUAUUUUAUACUAAAUGGGAUGAGCUUUUUAGUAAAUUUUUAAAAGUUUAAUUUAAAUUUUAAAUAAAUAGGAUUAAUAAUUUUCAUUUUUAUUAGUAUUUUAUAAUUAUUUUAAAUUUUUAUAUUAUUUAUAUUAUCUUUAAUUUUUUUAUGAAAUUUUAAAUGUAAAUUUUAUUUGUUUAGUAAUAAUGAUAAAAUUAGUAUAAAUUUAUGUAAUUUAAUUAAUAAUUAAGGUUAAUUAAAGGAAUUCGGCAAAUUAAUUUUUUACCUGUUUAUCAAACCGGUGUGAGCCAGGUUGGUUUCUAUCUCAAAAUAAAAUAAAUUUAUUAGUACGAAAGGACCAUUAAUUUUAUUAAAAAUAUUUUUUUAGAAUAUUAUUGUUAUUUUGGCAGAAUAGUGCAAUAGAUUUAGAAUCUUUAUAUGUAAAUUUUUACAGAUAAUACUUGUUAAAAGAUUUUUAUUUAAUAAUAUUUUCUUUAAUUAUUUUGUUUUUAUGUGUAAUAGUAAGAGUAGCUUUUUUACAUUAUUAGAACGUAAAGUUUUAGGAUAUAUUCAAAUUC
rnacentral:rRNA from 1 species